UGAAAUACACAAAGAAAUCAUUAAGUUGCCUUCUUUUCAUUUAUUUUAAAUUAGGGAAUAUGAAAAUUAUAAUGAAUUAAAGAAUCAGUAAUGAUCAUUUUAUAAACAUUCAUGUUAAACUUUGUCUCUUGAGAUUAUAAUAGUAAACUCUUACUACUAAAGUGAUACUUAGUGAGAACUCAGCCAUUUAGUUGCUUGUAACACAAGAAAUGAAAAGAAAAAAAAUCAUGUUUUUUUUUUGUUUUCUUUGAGGAUUGGAUAGAAGAAAUUUAGUUAGCAUAUACUUACACAAUCUGUUGAGGAUUCCAGAGGAUGGAAUAGGUGUGAAAAUCUGCAGUAGGGUCAAACCAAAGAUGAAAUUGUUGCUCCCUAUUACCCUUUCCUUGGCUAAACACAUUUGUGUGAAGUGUGUAUGGCUGUCCACUCAAAUUUCCCAAGAAUUCAAAGUCAAUCUCAUCCCAGGCGCCUCCUUUUGAUGAUAACUGAAUUUGAUAGAGCAUACAAAAUUCUCAUCAGUAGAAAGAAAAAAACUGUUAUAAGGUUGUAAAUGUAUGAAAGUAAAAUACGAUGUGGUAAGUAGCUUACAUAAUAGGCAGUGACAGUACCAGCAGAGUUGCCAGAAACAAGUUUAAGUUGCAUAUCGAUUUUACCAAAAAGAUAUUGAUUUUUGGAUUGAAAGCCAGAACCAGAGGCUUUGUCAAGAGAGAGAGUAAGAAGUUGGUCAUUGUUGAGUAUUUUGGCACGACCCUGUAUGAAGCAGUGAAAGGUGCUUUGCUCCAAUCUGUUUUAACAAGUCCUCCUCUUGUGGCCCAAUCAUCAGCAUUCCAAAGACUUGAGUAGAUUCUCAUUGGUUGGUUUUUCGGGAAUGGAACACCAUUUGAUUCCAUGUUCUUGAAUUCCCUAAUUGGAGUUCCAUCCACAUAGAAACUGAAAUACACAAAGAAAUCAUUAAGUUGCCUUCUUUUCAUUUAUUUUAAAUUAGGGAAUAUGAAAAUUAUAAUGAAUUAAAGAAUCAGUAAUGAUCAUUUUAUAAACAUUCAUGUUAAACUUUGUCUCUUGAGAUUAUAAUAGUAAACUCUUACUACUAAAGUGAUACUUAGUGAGAACUCAGCCAUUUAGUUGCUUGUAACACAAGAAAUGAAAAGAAAAAAAAUCAUGUUUUUUUUUUGUUUUCUUUGAGGAUUGGAUAGAAGAAAUUUAGUUAGCAUAUACUUACACAAUCUGUUGAGGAUUCCAGAGGAUGGAAUAGGUGUGAAAAUCUGCAGUAGGGUCAAACCAAAGAUGAAAUUGUUGCUCCCUAUUACCCUUUCCUUGGCUAAACACAUUUGUGUGAAGUGUGUAUGGCUGUCCACUCAAAUUUCCCAAGAAUUCAAAGUCAAUCUCAUCCCAGGCGCCUCCUUUUGAUGAUAACUGAAUUUGAUAGAGCAUACAAAAUUCUCAUCAGUAGAAAGAAAAAAACUGUUAUAAGGUUGUAAAUGUAUGAAAGUAAAAUACGAUGUGGUAAGUAGCUUACAUAAUAGGCAGUGACAGUACCAGCAGAGUUGCCAGAAACAAGUUUAAG
rnacentral:lncRNA from 1 species